rnacentral:rRNA from 1 species
UACGUAGGGAGCAAGCGUUGUCCGGAAUCAUUGGGCGUAAAGCGCGCGUAGGCGGUCCGGUAAGUCCGCUGUGAAAGUCGGGGGCUCAACCCUCGAAUGCCGGUGGAUACUGUCGGGCUAGAGUGCGGAAGAGGCGAGUGGAAUUCCUGGUGUAGCGGUGAAAUGCGCAGAUAUCAGGAGGAACACCUAUUGCGAAGGCAGCUCGCUGGGACGUAACUGACGCUGAGACGCGAAAGCGUGGGGAGCAAACAGG